rnacentral:rRNA from 1 species
UACGAAGGGGGCUAGCGUUGCUCGGAAUCACGGGGCGUAAAGCGCACGUAGGCGGAUUGUUAAGUCAGGGGUGAAAUCCUGGAGCUCAACUCCAGAACUGCCUUUGAUACUGGCGAUCUCGAGUCCGGGAGAGGUGAGUGGAACUGCGAGUGUAGAGGUGAAAUUCGUAGAUAUUCGCAAGAACACCAGUGGCGAAGGCGGCUCACUGGCCCGGUACUGACGCUGAGGUGCGAAAGCGUGGGGAGCAACAGG